GCGUAACAUUCGCGCGAUUUUUAACGAGAAGGACACACACUUUGGACAGUCAUAGUCGAUACCGAAUAUCACACUAGACUCUCGCCCACUUAUCAGCGAGAGUUCGC
rnacentral:ncRNA from 1 species